GGGAUACCGACAGUAGCGUGCCGAGAGGUCUAAGCCGCUGGUUUAAGGCACCAGUCUCUCCGGAGGCGUGGGUUCGAAUCCCACCUCUCCCA